rnacentral:tRNA from 1 species
GGGUGUGGCUCAGUGGUAGAGUGCUUCCCUACCAUGUGUGAGGCACUGGGUUCAAUUCUCAGCACUGCA